GUGGGGGUGGGACGGAAGGAUGGAAGAGUGAGAAGGAAAGGAGCAGGAUAAGAGGAGAUCUGGCUCAAUCCAAACCGGACAAGGGCAGGCCAAAUGGAGCAGGAAGCUGAGGGAGGGUAGGGGAGGAAUGAGGGAGGAAACAGAGGCAGCUGGGGAGUAGAAAAGGGAACGGAUCCCCGAGCUCAGCAUUUUCCUUCCUGUUCUGGUUAAACACUCAAAUUCCCCCUAUCUUCCAGCCCAGGCCACCCCACCACCACCACUAGUACCACACACAGGGGUGGUAGCCCCAGGGAGCCCGGGCCAUUAGCAACCUCUGCUUCCACAGCAGUGCACAGAAGCUAAAGAAAUGGGGAAAGGAAGGAAGUGAUCCUGCUGGAUGAAGAGAGGGGCCAACGAGGGCACAGCUGAUGAGGCCUAGUUUGCAAAACCAGCUGUCAAGGGUAGAAGUAGGAGCAGAGCAAUGACACCAGGGUCUGCCCCCCAGACCUGCCAGCUUCCUGCCACAGCUCUGCUUGAGAAAGCCACAGAGGAAGUUGGAAAGUAACCAAAAAGGAAGUAGGAAAAUACAUAUACUCCUGAAACUCACCUUGGAAUUACCUAUUUGUAAAUUACUUCAGAAGAUAAAAAGAUGCAAAUAACCACUUGAUUACAGUGAUAAACAAUACCAGCACUCAAAAUCUGUUGGAUAUUAUGCUAAGCUCUCACUUCCCCUCAGUCCUCAUCAGAGGAGAGCUUUGUCAUUUCACCCACCACUCACGAAUUCUCUCACGCCAUUUCCUAAGGCUCAGUGCUCAAGCAUAGAGAGCAUAAGGAGAGGGCUCAGUCAUAACCUCACACUCUCGACACCCGCCAACACACACUGGGAUGUCUUCAUCUUUACAGAUGGGUGUUCUGUAGGAGCCUACUGCAUC